rnacentral:other from 1 species
GAUUUCCUGAGGUGUUCGCUACCGGGCUAUGUCCCUGAGCCGAUACUUACAUAUUUAUGAAUUGGUUUCCUACAUUGUUGGUGUGCAGGCUUAGUUUAGCUAAGAAGCCUAAAAACGAUUAUAACUGAUUCCCUUGAACUUUCGGGUUCAAGGACUGACCGCCCGGAACGGCAUCUCGGGAUCCUC